ensembl:lncRNA
GGCAGAGUAAUAAGGGUGGAAGAAUUCCUGGAGAUAACCAUUUGUCACCUCUCACUGCCUGGACUCCUUAGCACUCACCUUGCUGGGGUGUGUCCCGGUCCAGAAAUAACCACACCAAGUAGAGGACAGAGAAACACCAGAGCGAGGUACAGAGGAGGAAGAUGCCAACAAGGGAAAAGAGAGUGCCUGGAAGAAAGAUGAGAAAGAAAAAUGACUUCUAUCUUGAAACCACAACAACUGCUCCUUUCCUUCUCAAUGAGAUCCCUGGUCCUCUCCCAGCUGGACCUCUGGCCCUUCCCUCCUUUUGCCCUGGUGUCCAGGUUUGUCACACCUUUCUUUCCAAGGAGGAAGUGUCUUUUAAUUUCAUGGCUGCAGUUACGGUCCGCAGUGAUUAUGGAGACCAGGCUCCCUUCCUCCCAACCGAUCAACUGGGACAGAGUUCAUGGCUGGCACCUUAGCCAAACGCCAGCCAAGGCUUGAGGGCCACAGCAAGGAUUUCAGGCCCCAACAGUGGACCUUCACCUCCUGAUGAGGGGAGGAUGCAGGGCGUCUUGAGCCCAUUGUAGCGGGUGGGCGAGUGGGCCGGGGAGCAGGGCAGGUAGAGGCUGGGUCUCACUGACUACUCACCAACGACGGUGUGGAUGGGCCGGAGGAAGGGCAGGAGGAGGCCCAGCAGGGCCACCCUCAGCACCUACUGCAGUGCUUCCCGUGCCCAUCUCACCCAGGAGCCUGGCAGGCUUGGAAACUGCUGGAAGACCUUGUUCUCCACACAAGAGAAGAUGGAACCAGGGAUGCGCUGGGAGAGCAGGGAGCGCCUGAUUUCCGGCCCUGUGGGCGCUGGGCUCCGGGCUCCUCCCCACCAGCGCCACCCCCGAGGCCCCCACAACGGACACCUCACUCGUGUUCGAAGGCCAACUUGACAAAUUCCUUCUUCUUGUGGAUCAGCAAGCUCUGCUUUGCCUCCAGGGCGCCCGCCUCCCCCCGGCUCCCUGGACCUGAGGUCGGGUCAAGUGAUAGGAGGUGCUGGCUUUGUUAGAGGACACCAAACCUGGUUGGGAGGGAGGGGGCAGGAAGACCUGAGCCAGAGUCUUCCAGAAAAGAGGGAAGAAGGCACGGGGAAAGGACAGUGAUUCUUCACCAGAUGGGGACACAGGGUGCACACCCCAGGUGGGGGGGCGCUAAUGUUGGAUUUUGGGGGUGACGGUCCCAAGAGUCUACUCGGAAGCCCAGCUCCCACGCAGCACAGAGUUCCAGAUGGGGAGAGUGUCCCGGACAUGCCUCCAGAUGGCCUGGUAAGGACUCAGGCAGAGCCACAGCCUCCUGCCUGAGAUAUGUUUCUGUCUCCAUAGAGCCCGUCCAGGUUGAGGACCGCUGGGAUCCAGGCCCCGCUCAGGAGUACAAGGAGCAAGGCAGCCAGACACCCCUGAGCUGGAGGUGGGGUGUGUGUGUGAGGACCCUGACUCCAGAGGUUUCGGAGUCCCAGGUCCCCCCUUUACCCUCUUUGCUGCUCCAUGGCUUCAGGCCCAUCUGUCCUGAAGGAAAUCACUGCUUUUCUCACUCCUUGAAGGAUCCCAUGCCAGGGAUCCCAGCCCCGCCUCCCUCCCACCUUGGCAUCAGGAAGCAGAGAGACAGGCCCAGGGUCCUCAGGGCUUCAGGGACUCACCAAGCUCCAAAAUGGAGAAGAUCCAUUGCAGGAGGCACACACCUGGAGAGCCAAGCGGAGAAGACUGGAGGAGACUGGCCUUCUGCAGAGGGGAGUCACGACACUCUGUCUCUAAGCUUUCUGUCUUUUCGCCCAAUCCUCUGGCCCUACCCCUGAUCUGGGUUAUGCCUUCUUUUCUGCCUCCUCUGAUGAUGAGCACACUGGACAACGGUGAGCCCUGGCAAGGAAGGUUAAUCACUAUUUGGCUUCACAGAGCUGUGACCAAAAGGGGAGGCCAGGGGUGUGACUGGGGAACCUGGGGGUGAGGAAAGUGCUUGGAUUUUGUGGAGGUCAGGACUGGUUCCCUGUUAUGACAGGCUGGGCCAGUGGGGGAUGACCUGUGUGUGUGUACCCUGAACAGCAGGGCUCCCCAUUUGUCACCCGGGCCUGACCCCUGAGGGGUAGAGGGCCCGCAGGAUGAGUUAUUCCCUAAGGAGCAGCUUAGGCCUCUGUGGGGAGACCUCCAGAAGGAAGGGCUUUGUGUGAAUGGCUAAGAAUUGGGGAGCCCCUCCAAGAGAGAGCCCAUCACUCCAAAUGACCCAAAUCCAUUCAUUUUGAUGGCUGAGAGUAUUCCAUUGUAUACACGUACCACCUGUUCUGUAUCCAUUAAUCUGUCAGUAAACAUUUACGGUGCUUCCAUAUCUUGGCUAUUGUAAACAGUACUGCAGUGAAUAUUGGGGUGCAUGUGUCCUUUCUGACGAUGUUCUUCUCCUGAUAAGGAGAGGGUGUGCAG